GUUUAUACCAAACAACAUUAAUAAAAGGAAUGACAGAAUGGAAUGUCCGUAGGCUAUCACAGGGAAGUAGAAUGUCUAUAGAGAAUAAGGAAACAAACUAGAACACUAUGGGAAAAAAAAGGUAGAGAAGCCCGGGCAGGAUGGAAUCGAAAAAGUCCGCACCGGACAUCUCCUUUAAAGUUAACAUAUCUUGUGAGCAAGUGGGAAGGAAAGUGUUAACCUAGUUCAGGUGGGGCAAAGAACGGUGGUCUUGUUACUGUAAAGAAGGUAUGAAAGUUGUCAUUUCACAGGGAGGUUUAGCGUCUGUGCUGGAUUUGAUCCUUGUCACAUGGAUUCUUACAGAAUGAUCAGAAUCUGGAGUUGCUCCCCUGCUGGGGGUGAAGUCAGGACUCUCUUACCCUGGACAGCUCAGGAAUUUGGUGUGGAGGUCAUGGAUCACUGCUCUGAGGAAUGUACCCAGCUGGUCAAUUCUUUGCAACCAUCUGAAGUUUGGAUAAACAGGUCUAGUUUAAAAAGGCUAUCUAGGAAUAGAAAAACAGUGCUGAUUUCUUCCAAAACAGCACCACACCUGUCCUCAGGUUGUUUCUGGUAUUACAACUUGGCUCCAUUUACCUCAGUAGAACUGAGCUGCAAAACCAUACCCAACCUGU